rnacentral:rRNA from 1 species
GAAGGGUGCAAGCGUUACUCGGAAUUACUGGGCGUAAAGCGUGCGUAGGUGGUUCGUUAAGUCUGAUGUGAAAGCCCUGGGCUCAACCUGGGAAUGGCAUUGGAUACUGGCGACCUAGAGUGCGGUAGAGGGGUGUGGAAUUCCCGGUGUAGCAGUGAAAUGCGUAGAUAUCGGGAGGAACAUCUGUGGCGAAGGCGACACCCUGGACCAGCACUGACACUGAGGCACGAAAGCGUGGGGAGCAAACAGGAUUAGAUACCCUGGUAGUCCACGCCCUAAACGAUGCGAACUGGAAGUUGGGGACAACUUGGUCCUCAGUUUCGAAGCUAACGCGUUAAGUUCGCCGCCUGGGAAGUACGGUCGCAAGAGCUG